UGUAUGGUUUAUACACGUAUAUAUAUAUAUAUAUAAAUGAAUAUGGGCAUAAUAGAGUUGAAUUGUUCAACUCAUUAGGUCCAAUUAAGUCUAAUAAUUUCGAGUGUCGCACCGGUGUUUCUUUCGAGCAUUGGCGGCUAGCAUCGCUGAUCUUGAAGACUCGUCGACAAAGUUGGUGUGGAUACUUGUAGAAACGUCACGCGUGGGACGCCCGGUCGACAAUUUUAAAUAUUCCAGGUGUACAGCUAAGAACUUGGUACGUGUCAUCUUUAUCGUCUAAAUGAAGAUUUAGGCGUGUCAUUUGUGAUCCCUACAGGACAUGGGGUUCCUCACCGUUAUGUUUUGACGAUGAUUGAUGAAGAGAAGUCCAAUCUCAAGAGGCCCGAUCCGGAUUAUUGAAGACCCAAAUAAGAUAUUGAUAUUGAUGGGUAGGGGAAGUCAAGUUUCAUUAGUGAAGUAGGUGAAAUAGUUGUUGAGUCCCUAAUUAUGAUAUAAGUAGACUAAAUUCGGAUUAAGAGAGGUAGUUGAGUCUAUCUAAUUGAUUUUCAUUCUCAAUGAUGUAAUUAAUGUUUUUAGUUGGCCAUGGGUAGUGGUUGAAUUUAUGUGGUAAGUUUCUAGAGGAUUCAGAUCUAUUUAAGGGUUGUAUUCCUCAUUCUGAAGGGAAUCAGAUCAUAGAAUCAAUCAAAAAUUUCUCUGAUUUAUUAUCGAAUUCCCUCUUGGGUAUUCAGCUUCGAGCUUGGUUCGUAUUAUUUUCAUUGUCUAAAUGAAGAUUUAGGCUUGUUGUUUGUGAUCCCCACUGCGUCACUGGUCCAAUCCAUCUCUUGAUUUGCACAUUUAGGUCAUUUGGUACGUGUCCCAUACUUCGAUAGAAUUUUUGUUGCACGAUGUUGGGAAAAACCAACUUAACUGGAAUGAUCCACCUACACACAUUCUAUGCCAUUUGAUUAGUGGUUUGAUAGAAAAUGCAACUGUGAUGUCUACAAAUAUUAUCUAGGUCAUUUUCGUAGAUACAUAUUAAACUAGUCCGUUAUUUGAAGCUUGCUUCAUGGUGUAUACAACGCAUCAAAUUUGAAUAGGACUAAAUCUUGAUAACUAAGGUUUAUUGA